CGCGCAAACUCUUGAUUCGUUCAAAAUCUGUUAAAAAAUUUUUAUCGAAAAAAUUUCAUUCCGUUCUACUUAUAUCCGGGAUCAGGAAUAAUAAUGUGAGCAUCUAAACCGUUGUCGGUCGUAUAUCUCAUUUUUCACGUGUUUUAAAAUGAUUUAAAAAUUUGGAAAGACGUCAGCGAACGCGGCGUUAACCUCUCGAUAUUAUACAUACGAGAAGACGCGUUGAUUAAAAUUACGGAGACGAAGAGACGCCAUGCAAACAAGGGUCCGAUAUACGAAAUAAGGAAAACAAAUGUGGGUAUCAAGAUUUGAGGAUAAACGAGCUCGAGGGGCGAACGCGAAGGACCCAAAUCAUCAUCAAGGACCUAAAAAACCAG
rnacentral:misc_RNA from 1 species